rnacentral:rRNA from 1 species
GUUGGCUUGGAAGCAGCCAUUCAUUUAAAGAGUGCGUAACAGCUCACUAGUCGAGCGGUCCUGCAUGGAUAAUACGCGGGCAUAAGCAUAUAACCGAAGCUAUGGGAUUGUAGAUGAUACAAUCGGUAGGAGAGCAUUCCAUUCAGCGUAGAAGCAGUAUCGUGAGGUAUUGUGGAGCGGAUGGAAAAGCAAAUGUAGGCAUAAGUAACGAUAAUGCGGGUGAGAACCCCGCACGCCGAAAGAUCAAGGAUUCCCCGGCAAUGUCAAUCAUCCGGGGGUAAGUCGGAUCCUAAGGGUAAGCCGAGUGGCGAUCCCGAUGGCAAACAGGUUAAUAUUCCUGUACUGAUCAUAACUGCGAUGCAGCGACGCAGAGGUGACACUGCUGCGUACUGACGGAAUAGUACGUUGAAACCCGUAUUCUUUGAUACCGGUAGUGAAGCACGCCGGUAGAGAUGAAAGGUGAUAGUACCGCAAUGCUUCGGUUGCGCGGAUAACGCAGGUAAGCUGACUGCCAAGAAAACCUGCUAAGCUUCAGGUAAUGAUCAUCCGUACUGUAAACGGACACACGUGAUCAGGUAGAAAAUACUAAGGCGCUCGAGAGAUUCAUGGUUAAGGAACUAGGCAAAAUGGUCCUGUAACUUCGGGAUAAAGGACGCUCUUGUGAAAGAGCCGCAGAUAAUAGGCCCAGGCGACUGUUUACCAAAAACACAUGGCUAUGCUAAUUCGCAAGAAGAUGUAUAUGGCCUGACACCUGCCCGGUGCCGGAAGGUUAAGAGGAGAGCUCAGAGGCAACUCGAAGGUUUGAAUUGAAGCCCCGGUAAACGGCGGCCGUAACUAUAACGGUCCUAAGGUAGCGAAAUUCCUUGUCGGGUAAGUUCCGACCUGCACGAAUGGUGUAACGAUCUGGGUACUGUCUCAACCAUGAGCUCGGUGAAAUUGUAGUUCCGGUGAAGAUGCCGGAUACCCGCAACGGGACGGAAAGACCCCGUGAACCUUUACUGCAGCUUUGCAUUGAUUUUGGGUAACAGAUGUGUAGGAUAGGUCGGAGGCUUUGAUGCUGCGUCGUCAGGCGUAGAGUAGCCGUCGUUGAAAUACGACCCUUUUGUUAUCUGAGGUCUAAUCCCGUUAGGGAGACAUUGCAUGGUGGGUAGUUUGACUGGGGUGGUCGCCUCCAAAAGUGUAACGGAGGCUUCUCAAGGUACCCUCAAGGCGUUUGGUAAUCGUCUGCAGAGUGCAAUGGCAUAAGGGUGCUUGACUGUGAGACCGACACGUCGAUCAGGUUGGAAACAAGAGCAUAGUGAUCCGGUGGUUCCGCAUGGAAGGGCCAUCGCUCAAAGGAUAAA